rnacentral:tRNA from 1 species
GCAGGAUUGGUGUAGUGGCUAUCACGUGUCGUUCACAAAGAUGAACUUUUCCCGACAAGGUCGCGAGUUCGAUCCUCGCAUCCUGUA